rnacentral:rRNA from 1 species
UACGUAGGGUGCAAGCGUUGUUCGGAAUUACUGGGCGUAAAGAGUGUGUAGGCGGUGCUCUAAGUUUGUCGUGAAAUCUCCCGGCUUAACUGGGAGGGUGCGGCGAAAACUGGAGUGCUAGAGGGUGGGAGAGGAAAGCGGAAUUCCUGGUGUAGCGGUGAAAUGCGUAGAUAUCUGGAGGAACACCGGUGGCGAAGGCGGCAUUCUGGACCAUUACUGACGCUGAGGAGCGAAAGCCAGGGGAGCAAACGGG